GACGAACGCUGGCGGCGUGCUUAACACAUGCCAGUCGAACGGAAAGGCCCUGCUUUUGUGGGGUGCUCGAGCGGCGAACGGGUGAGUAACACGUGAGUAACCUGCCCUUGACUUUGGGAUAACUUCAGGAAACUGGGGCUAAUACCGGAUAGGAGCUCCUGCUGCAUGGUGGGGGUUGGAAAGUUUCGGCGGUUGGGGAUGGACUCGCGGCUUAUCAGCUUGUUGGUGGGGUAGUGGCUUACCAAGGCUUUGACGGGUAGCCGGCCUGAGAGGGUGACCGGCCACAUUGGGACUGAGAUACGGCCCAGACUCCUACGGGGGGCAGCAGUGGGGAAUAUUGCACAAUGGGCGGAAGCCUGAUGCAGCAACGCCGCGUGCGGGAUGACGGCCUUCGGGUUGUAAACCGCUUUCGCCUGUGACGAAGCGUGAGUGACGGUAAUGGGUAAAGAAGCACCGGCUAACUACGUG
rnacentral:rRNA from 1 species